GAUGAACGCUAGCUACAGGCUUAACACAUGCAAGUCGAGGGGCAGCAUUAAAGUUUGCUUGCAAACUUUAGAUGGCGACCGGCGCACGGGUGAGUAACACGUAUCCAACCUGCCGAUAACUCGGGGAUAGCCUUUCGAAAGAAAGAUUAAUACAAGAUGGCAUCAUGAGUCCGCAUGUUCACAUGAUUAAAGGUAUUCCGGUAGACGAUGGGGAUGCGUUCCAUUAGAUAGUAGGCGGGGUAACGGCCCACCUAGUCUUCGAUGGAUAGGGGUUCUGAGAGGAAGGUCCCCCACAUUGGAACUGAGACACGGUCCAA
rnacentral:rRNA from 1 species